rnacentral:rRNA from 1 species
AUGGAGCAUCGGGGCCUGCUUCUCGUCCUCGCCGCCGCGCUGUGCCUCGCGGGCGCCGCCGACGCCAGGCACGCCAAGAAGUCGUACCAGGCCGUCUUCAGCUUCGGGGACUCGCUCUCCGACGCCGGCAACCUCAUCGUCGACGGCAUCCCCAAGGCCCUCACCACCGCGCGCGCGCCCUACGGCAUGACCUUCUUCGGCCGCCCCACCGGCCGCUGCUCCAACGGCCGCGUCGUCGUCGACUUCCUCGCCGAGCAUUUCGGGCUGCCGCUGCCGCCGGCGUCGCAGGCGCAUGGCAAGGACUUCAAGAAGGGGGCCAACUUCGCCAUCACCGGCGCCACGGCGCUGGAGUACUCCUUCUUCAAGGCGCAUGGCAUCGACCAGCGCAUUUGGAACACCGGCUCCAUCAACACCCAGAUCGGCUGGCUCCAGAAGAUGAAGCCGUCGCUUUGCAAGUCGGAGAAAGAGUGCAAGGACUACUUCAGCAAGUCCCUGUUUGUGGUGGGAGAGUUUGGGGGGAACGACUACAACGCUCCUCUCUUCUCCGGCGUCGCCUUCUCCGAUGUGAAGACCUACGUGCCGCUGGUCGCCAAAGCCAUCGCCAACGGCGUCGAGAAAUUGAUCGAGCUUGGCGCGACAGACCUGUUGGUGCCUGGAAUUCUUCCGAUCGGGUGCUUCCCAUUGUACCUGACUCUCUACAACAGCAGCAAGAAGUCGGACUACAACGCGCGCACCGGGUGCCUCCGGAGAUACAACCGCCUGGCCUUCCACCACAACAGAGAGCUCAAGCAGCAGCUUGACCAGCUUCAGAAGAAGUACCCAAAGACGAAAAUCAUGUACGGCGAUUACUUCAAAGCUGCAAUGCAGUUUGUCGUCAGCCCCGGGAAAUUCGGUUUCAGCACGGCAGUGCAGGCAUGCUGCGGCGCCGGAGGGUCGGGCGCCUACAACUUCAACCUGAAGAAGAAGUGCGGCGAGGCGGGCGCGAGCGUGUGCUCCAACCCGUCGGCGUACGUGAGCUGGGACGGCAUCCACAUGACCGAGGCCGCCUACCGCAUGGUCGCCAACGGCUGGCUGAAUGGCCCCUAUGCCUCUCCCCCGAUCAUGAAGUGA